rnacentral:rRNA from 2 species
UACGUAGGGGGCAAGCGUUAUCCGGAUUUACUGGGUGUAAAGGGAGCGUAGACGGCAUGGCAAGCCAGAUGUGAAAGCCCGGGGCUCAACCCCGGGACUGCAUUUGGAACUGUCAGGCUAGAGUGUCGGAGAGGAAAGCGGAAUUCCUAGUGUAGCGGUGAAAUGCGUAGAUAUUAGGAGGAACACCAGUGGCGAAGGCGGCUUUCUGGACGGUGACUGACGUUGAGGCUCGAAAGCGUGGGGAGCAAACAGG